UUGAAGAGUUUGAUCAUGGCUCAGAUUGAACGCUGGCGGCAGGCCUAACACAUGCAAGUCGAGCGGAUGACGGGAGCUUGCUCCUUGAUUCAGCGGCGGACGGGUGAGUAAUGCCUAGGAAUCUGCCUGGUAGUGGGGGACAACGUUUCGAAAGGAACGCUAAUACCGCAUACGUCCUACGGGAGAAAGCAGGGGACCUUCGGGCCUUGCGCUAUCAGAUGAGCCUAGGUCGGAUUAGCUAGUUGGUGAGGUAAAGGCUCACCAAGGCGACGAUCCGUAACUGGUCUGAGAGGAUGAUCAGUCACACUGGAACUGAGACACGGUCCAGACUCCUACGGGAGGCAGCAG
rnacentral:rRNA from 1 species